GAGGAGUGUUGAGGGUGGGAGGGGAGAAUAGUUCGUUAAGAUCUACCAUUAGAGAAAUGGUUAAUUUGGUACUGAAUUCUUAACUAGAAAAUGCUUUUGAUUGAAAAAAAA